AGGACGAACGCUGGCGGCGUGCUUAACACAUGCAAGUCGAGCGGAAAGGCCCUUCGGGGUACUCGAGCGGCGAACGGGUGAGUAACACGUGAGGAACCUGCCCUGGACUUUGGGAUAACCCUCGGAAACGGGGCUAAUACCGAAUACGACUGCUGGCCGCAUGGUUGGUGGUGGAAAGUUUUUCGGUCUGGGAUGGUCUCGCGGCCUAUCAGCUUGUUGGUGGGGUAAUGGCCUACCAAGGCGACGACGGGU
rnacentral:rRNA from 1 species